ACUUCUACUUUAACAUUUCUAAACUAUCCCUACUUCCUUUCUUCAUCUACUUCAAACUUCGAAUCAAACUACAACUACCCCCACUUUCUCCCCCACCUCCUAAAUAAACAGGAAAGAAGUCCAUAAUCAAAACUAACCCCGUCUAUCUCUUACUGCUCAACAUCUUCUUCGUGAAUCAAUUUAUCCCCAAAAGUUGAAUCCUCAAUUAAUACUCAAGUGCGUUACAAGGAAUUUUCUUUAAAAGAGCUCUCUUAGCGGUAAGCAUUAUAUGGUGUUCGUUUUUGGUUUUUAUGUUUAUCUCACGCACGGUAACGUUGAGGCUAAGAUUUAGGUAAGCAUUCUUCACUUUUUCAAUUUUAUUUUAAUACCCAACGUCAUUGUUUUCGUUGUAAAACAAUUGAAUUCCUCAAAGAGUAACGCUGAGGCUAAGAUUCAUGUAACUAUUCUUCUCUUUUUACUUUAUUUCUUUUUCGUUUUCCUUUUAGUUUGCUGUUUUAAUUUUGUUAUUUUCAGUUACAGGGCAUUAUAUGUAGAGGGAGGAUCCCUUGACGGGCCCUUAUUUGACAAGGCAUUACAGUCCCUCUUAUAUGUAUCCUCUUUCCAAAGAUUGUACAUGAGAGAUAUCAAGAAACUCCUAAAAAGACGUUGCAGAUGGGUCUGAAAUAUGGGUGUCCAGUGAAAGAUGCGAUGACAGGAUUAGCAGUACAAUGUAGGGGAUGGAACUCGAUUGAUGGUGAAUUGCAUUUGCUUAUGGCUAUAGAGAGCUUGCGGCAAGGUGGAUUGGCAUCCAUCUACUUAAUCUUUGCAGCUUCAUAAGCACCUGCCACUGUGUAUAUGAAUACUAAUCCACAUUUGGAUACAAAACAAGAAAGAAUAAGAGAACAAAUCGUAGGAAAACAAGUUGUCAUGCUCCCAUGUUUCCUCCACCAAUAAAUCGAGUUUAGUCAACGUUAAUAUUGUGGAAGAGGUUGGGGAUGCGACAUUGGUUAUGUAUGCAGUUUUGGUCAUGAUUCAUCUGCAUUCCUAUAACUUAGGAUGCUAUUAGAGCAGAUCCAAUGAUAACGUUGCAAGUAAGCAACGGUUGUUGGGCAAUUCAGUGACACCAUUAUUUGACCUACUAAUCACACCAAUUUCGAGUAAAAAAAGAUCAGUCCAAGAGCUCCUCGAAGGAUUCUUUUGCCAGUUUAUCAGAAGUGUUCCGAGGACAAAGAUCCACAUUAUAAAGCCCUUGGAUGUAAUAUCAUUGGGACAACGGCGUUUUGGUGGAAGACAACUUAUUUGGAAAAUAUCACCCAUUUACUAUCUGCACCUCAUUGUUCGAAUUUUUUGUAAUAUUAUGAAACAACUGUUGCAGUCCAUUUAAACUAAUAGUAAUGUCACCCCUGAUAAUACCCAAAUGUUAUUUGAAAACUCCACUUUAUCAUAUGGCUCAUGAGUCCUU